GACGAACCACACAAACGUUAUUCGGAAUUACUGGGCUUAAAGGGGUGCGUAGGCUGCGCAGAAAGUUGGGGUGUGAAAUCCCUCGGCUCAACCGAGGAACUGCGCCCAAAACUACUGUGCUCGAGGAAGACAGAGGUGAGCGGAACUUAGGGUGGAGCGGUGAAAUGCGUUGAUAUCCUAAGGAACACCCGUGGCGAAAGCGGCUCACUGGGUCUUUUCUGACGCUGAGCACGAAAGCUAGGGUAGCGAACGGG
rnacentral:rRNA from 1 species